rnacentral:rRNA from 1 species
AUGAACGCUGGCGGCGUGCCUAAUACAUGCAAGUCGAGCGAACAGACGAGGAGCUUGCUCCUCUGACGUUAGCGGCGGACGGGUGAGUAACACGUGGAUAACCUACCUAUAAGACUGGGAUAACUUCGGGAAACCGGAGCUAAUACCGGAUAAUAUAUUGAACCGCAUGGUUCAAUAGUGAAAGACGGUUUUGCUGUCACUUAUAGAUGGAUCCGCGCCGCAUUAGCUAGUUGGUAAGGUAACGGCCUACCAAGGCAACGAUGCGUAGCCGACCUGAGAGGGUGAUCGGCCACACUGGAACUGAGACACGGUCCAGACUCCUACGGGAGGCAGCAGUAGGGAAUCUUCCGCAAUGGGCGAAAGCUUGACGGAGCAACGCCGCGUGAGUGAUGAAGGUCUUCGGAUCGUAAAACUCUGUUAUUAGGGAAGAACAAAUGUGUAAGUAACUAUGCACGUCUUGACGGUACCUAAUCAGAAAGCCACGGCUAACUACGUG